rnacentral:rRNA from 1 species
GACGAACGCUGGCGGCGUGCUUAACACAUGCAAGUCGAACGGAAAGGCCCUGCUUUUGUGGGGUGCUCGAGUGGCGAACGGGUGAGUAACACGUGAGUAACCUGCCCUUGACUUUGGGAUAACUUCAGGAAACUGGGGCUAAUACCGGAUAGGAGCUCCUGCUGCAUGGUGGGGGUUGGAAAGUUUCGGCGGUUGGGGAUGGACUCGCGGCUUAUCAGCUUGUUGGUGGGGUAGUGGCUUACCAAGGCUUUGACGGGUAGCCGGCCUGAGAGGGUGACCGGCCACAUUGGGACGGAGAUACGGCACAGACUCCUACGGGAGGCAGCAGUGGGGAAGAUUGCACAAUGGGCGGAAGCCUGAUGCAGCAACGCCGCGUGCGGGAUGACGGCCUUCGGGUUGUAAACCGCUUUCGCCUGUGACGAAGCGUGAGUGACGGUAAUGGGUAAAGAAGCACCGGCUAACUACGUG